rnacentral:tRNA from 1 species
GGGGCUGUGGUGCAAUGAUAGAACAUCUGUUUGGCAUAUAGAAGGUCCAAAGUUCAAUCCUUGGCAUCUCCA